GCUCCUGUGAAGUGCAAAGACCCACAUAACCAAAACAUUUUUCUUCGUCUCAAGCAAAAUCAAAUUCCGCUACUUCUUUCAAUUUCUAGGGUUUCAAUUUUCAACCGCUCUCAAAACUGUUCACAAUAAUCAACUAUUUUUGACGAUUCGUACCUGUCACCAAAACCUAGUUCUCCAUUGUCGCAGAUUUCAUAUCACAAUGCCGCUUACUAACAAAUCCAUGGAAGGCGAGGAGUGGGGAACUCCGACCAACAACCUCUGGGUCGGGAAUUUGACGCCGGAGGUCACCGAUUCCGAUCUCAUGGACCUCUUCGCUCCGUACGGUUCUCUCGACACUCUCAUAUCCUAUUCUUCUCGCACUUUCGCUUUCGUCUUAUUCAGGCGCAUCGAAGACGCCAAGGCCGCGAAGAACAACUUGCAAGGCGCUGCGCUGCGCGGUGUUCAAAUCAGAAUCGAGUUUGCCAGACCGGCGAAGCCGUGUAAGCAAUUGUGGGUGGGUGGUGUUGGUCACGCCGUUACGAAGGAGGAUUUGGAAGCGGAGUUUCGCAAAUUCGGUAAGAUUGAGGAUUUUGUGUUCUUCAGAGACCGCGGUACUGCGUGCGUUGAGUUUCUCAAUUUGGAUGAUGCUACGCGGGCCGUGAAAGUCAUGAACGGGAAGCGAUUAGGUGGAGGCCAGAUUUGUGUAGACUUCGUUCGAUCACAAUCUACGAAGAGAGAUCAUUUGGUUGAUCAUGGGCAGUUUCAGGGUAGACCACAGCAUUUGCAACCUUCAAUGGGGAGGAAUAGUCAACCGAGUAAGAUUUUGUGGAUAGGUUUUCCUCCUUCUUUUCAAAUUGAUGAACAAAUGCUCCACAAUGCCAUGAUUUUAUUUGGUGAAAUUGAGAGAAUCAAGAGUUUUCCUUCUAGAAAUUAUUCAUUUGUUGAAUUUAGAAGCAUUGAUGAAGCUCAGCGUGCCAAAGAGGGUCUUCAAGGGCGGCUUUUUAAUGAUCCUCGAAUAACGAUUAUGUAUUCAAGCAGUGAGCUGGCACCUGGCAAAGAUCACCCUGGCUUUUAUCCUGGAAAUAAAGGGCCUAUGACUGAUGGAUUAGUUAAUGAGCAUCCAUAUCGAGCACUACAAACGGAUGUAUUUGGGCAUAAUCGUCCUGUGGUUCCAAAUAAUUUUCCUGGACAAUUCCCACCUGGUGGUAAUACUGGACCUAAUGUCCCAAUGCGACCUUUUGGUCCUCAAGGUCUUGAACCUCUUAUCUCUGGUCCUGAUUUUAAUGAGAUGGGUACACUCCAUAAAUUUCAGGAUGGUAGCUCUAAAAGUCAGAUGGGUCCAAGCUGGAAAAGGCCAUCUCCUCCUGCCCCAGGAAUGCUUCCUUCUCCUAUGCAUGGUAUUAGGCAUCCUACAAGAUCCAACUCUGGUGCAUGGGAUGUACUUGACAUAAACCAAUUUCAGAGAGAUUCUAAACGUUCACGGAUAGAUGAUGCUCCAUUUCCUUUAAGGAAUAUAGAUGAUCGUGGAUUGGGACUAGAACAACCAUUUGCAAUUGAUCCAGUUAUUGAUGGUGCUGGUUCUGGUCCAAGGAGUCACCUUGGUCCAGCCGGUUCUGUCCUACCUGAUAUUGAUCAUAUAUGGCGUGGAAUUAUUGCAAAAGGGGGAACUCUUGUUUGUCGUGCUAGAUGUGUGCCUAUUGGAAAAGGGAUAGGAACUGCAAUUCCUGAUGUUGUAGACUGUGCUGCUAGGACUGGGCUAGAUAUGCUAACGAAACAUUAUGCUGAUGCAAUUGGCUUUGACAUUGUUUUCUUUCUCCCUGAUAGUGAAGAGGAUUUUGCUUCAUACACUGAAUUCCUUCGCUACCUCAAAGCAAAAAACCGUGCUGGUGUUGCCAAGUUUGCUGAUAACACCACUUUAUUUUUGGUACCUCCUUCUGAUUUCUUGACCAGGGUUUUGAAAGUCACAGGACCUGAACGUCUAUAUGGUGUGGUUCUUAAAUUUCCAUUAGUUGCAAGUAAUGCAUCUAUGCAACAAGCAAUGCAUUUGCCGUCACCCUCUACUCAGUAUAUGCAACAGGUCCCCCCUUCACAAGCUGAGUAUGGUUCAAUCUCUGCAAAGGAGGAACAGAGUUUACCAAUGGAUUAUAACAGAUUGUUUCAUGAGGAUUCUAAGCAUCCGCCAAAACCACUUCAUGCAGCUACAAGUGUCCCCCCCUCAGCUCAUUCUGUUCCUCCUGAUUAUGCUCCAACUUAUACUGCUUCGGUAUCCCAAGCUGGAGUUACAUUGACACCCGAACUUAUUGCAUCUUUAACUUCUUUACUCCCUGGAACUACGCAAUCAUCAACCACUGGCCCCUCUACUGUGAAGCCUCCUUUUCCUCCUGUUGCACCUAAUGAUGGAAAUCAGUCUCAUUUGUGGAAACAAGAUCAGCAAGUUGCAGAUCCACCUAGUCAUCCUCCUCAACAGUUUGGGAGUAUUGAUAAUGCUCAAUAUCAACCUUAUCCGCCUACAUCUUCAACUGAUCACCAUGCUCAAGCGGUCUAUGGCAGUUCUCAUUUCCAAGAUUCUGCUUCCAGGCUUCAGCAAAUAGGUGCUGUUUCUUCUACACCCGUGACUAAUUUCAUCAUACCUCAAAAUGGACAGGUAGCUGUGUCCCCUCAAGUCAGUCAACAGUAUCAGGUGGAAGUUUCCCACAACACUGAGAAAGGCUAUGGAGUGGUUCAGGGAACUGAUGCCUCUGUUUUAUACAGUUCUAAUGCGUUCCAACAACCCAAUAAUUUUAUUGCCUCAUCCAACCAAGUUUCCAAUGCAGCUUCACAGCAACAAACUGUGAUGCCCUAUACAGUGGACAAAGUUAAUUCGGAGCUCCCAAAUCAGCAACUUCAACCUGCUUUAUUUGGAGUGGGCUCAGGAAUGUCAGAAUUGGAGGCUGAUAAGAACCAGAGGUACCAGUCAACACUACAGUUUGCUGCCAACCUUCUCCUCCAGAUACAGCAACAGCAAACACAAGGAGGACAUGGGCCAGGAAAUCAACAAUAAGAGUUGUUUUCUUUGCACCUCGUAAUCUGUUAGUAUUCCCUGGAACAGUGCUUGCUAAGUGUACUUGCUCAUCUUCGUCAUCAUCUUGGUUAUCUUCUUGAGUUGCUACAUAGUCAUCUCACUCAUUAACAUUUGGAAAGCCUUGUUCAGGAUCUAAGGAAAUACAUCUACAUUGGUCCUGUAUUUGUGGGAAUGAUUCAAUUCAAUGGUCGGUGGAUGAUUGAUCAUUGAUGUUAGUUAUACUGACCAGUUUGCAAAUUGCAAAUUGCAGUUAGAUUGUCAUCAAUAUAAGAUGAAUUUUCUGUUGAACGUUAGUUAACUUCAGUGGUUAGGAAACUUACUGAUAGAGAUAGUCAACAGUAUCUGGUCUUUGGGAGAAUUAAUAGCAUUUAUAAUUGCCCCGUUCAUUCAUAAAAUUUGUACAAUACACUCCUUGGUAGAACAUUGUCAUUAAGUGACUUAGUUUCAUGUAUAGUUUCAGAUAGAGAUACAUUGACUUUGUAACAAUUCCGAUGGUGUGCCUUAGAAUGCUUGCAUAAUGGUUCAGAUGAAUCUAGUAAAUACCACAUUUUAAGUAGACCAACUUUUAUUUAUUUUUGUACACUAGAAUUAAGUUGUCCAUUAUUAUCUUAUUUCUGAUUAGUUUAAAAUAUUUCUUUAGAUUCCAUCAUAUGCUGACUCAUUUUCUUUAUCUCCAAUAUUUGUCAAUGUUUCUGUGUUGUUUUUUAAUUGAAUAGAUACUAAUGUUGUGACAUAAAAUUUGGCUCAUAUUAAUUAAGCCUUGAACUUCACUGCACUGGAAUUGCAUGAUAAUAACUUGGUUUAAAUGCUGUUUCCCAUUAUUUUUAAGCUGUAGGCUUAGAGCACUUCCUUUCCUUUAGAAAGUAAAUAUUCGGGUUGGGAACUCAAUCUCACCAUAACUUAUUUCACUGAGUUGUAAUUUUGAACUAUGUAAGGAUCUUAAUCGUGCUUCCAAAGAUUAUGUGAAGACACUUUCUGAUCAAAUUUGUAAAUUUAGUUACCGCUAUUUACUGCUUUCCUAGCUAACUAUUCUCAGGGAUUGGUUAAUAGUAUCUAAAAUUUUGGUAACAAAUGCCUAUUCCGACUAUCCCAUUGUUUCUCCUACGCUUCCUUGUUAUAACUCUUUCAUACCCAAUAGUGAGAAUAUGCGGUUUAUAAUAUGAAGAUUCAUUGUAUUACUUUAUAUUACGUGAUUCGCAUCAAUCUUUAGCGACUAUGAACCUAUCCUAAUUACUCCACCAACUGGCUUUAGAGGAUAGUUUUUUGAAUUGUUAGAAGCUUAUGGAAAUUUCCCUCCUAAACGUCCUUGUUGAUUAAUUGAUUUUUUGUUCUUUAUUUUAUGCAAGAAACAUUUGAUGAAAAUACAAAACCUCCUAAAUCCACUUUCAAAUUUUAUGGGCAAUGCGUAAAAUGCACGCUAUUGCAAUAGAUGUGUAUGGUAGACGUUUAUAUUCAACCUUUAUAAUUCCCAUUUCCAAUAUAAUAAAGGCUAACUUAAUCAAGUAUGAUUAAUAGCCAAUCUUAAGACACCUUGGUGUAAAAAAUAAAAAAGAAAUGUGACACCUGGGAAGAACAUGUUUACUACUCUUCAUACUUAAAAUGCCCUGAAAAAUACUAUUGGGAACUUGAUAUCAUCAGUC